AGGUGAAGAUGAUGAAAGCCAAAUACGAAACGAGUGAUUAUCACAUUUGAUAUGAUCCAAUUUUUCAUCGCUACGUUCUUUCUGAUUCGCCU